AAGUUUAAAUCAAUAAUGAUAUAGAUAAAUUUGCAAUUUAUUAUUUUAUUUAAAUUAUUAAACU
rnacentral:tRNA from 1 species